rnacentral:rRNA from 1 species
UACGUAGGGGGCAAGCGUUGUCCGGAUUUAUUGGGCGUAAAGAGCGUGUAGGCGGCCUGACAGGUCUGCUGUGAAAACUCGAGGCUCAACCUCGAGAUGUCGGCGGAAACCGUCUGGCUAGAGUCCGGAAGAGGAGAGUGGAAUUCCUGGUGUAGCGGUGAAAUGCGCAGAUAAUCAGGAAGAACACCUAUGGCGAAGGCAGCUCUCUGGGACGGUACUGACGCUGAGACGCGAAAGCGUGGGGAGCGAACAGG